rnacentral:rRNA from 1 species
UACGUAGGGUGCAAGCGUUAAUCGGAAUUACUGGGCGUAAAGCGCGUGUAGGCGGCUGUCUAAGUUGGGUGUGAAAGCCCGGGGCUCAACCCCGGGACGCCGCCCAAGACUGGACGGCUUGAGGACGGAAGAGGGGCGUGGAAUUCCAGGUGUAGCGGUGAAAUGCGUAGAGAUCUGGAGGAACACCCGUGGCGAAGGCGGCGCCCUGGUCCGUUACUGACGCUGAGACGCGAAAGCGCGGGGAGCGAACGGG